CACCUGGGACACACCUGAGCACACCUGGGACACACCUGAGCACACCUGGGGACACCUGAGAUACACCUGGGCACACCUAGGCACAUGUGGGACACACCUGGGCACACCUGGGACACACCUGGGCACACCUGGCCAUGCAGAUGUUGGAUUUUUCCCGCCAUUCCCGGUUUUUUUCUCACCUUUUCCCGUUUUUCCCGUUUUUCUCCCCAAACCGCAGCCGGAUUUCGUCGGCAUCAUCUGCACCCGCCUGAGCCCCAAGAGACUGAUCGAGAAAUGGGUGGACUUCGCCAGGCGGCUCUGCGAGCACCAGUACGGGAACGCGCCGCGCGUGCGCAUCAACGGCCACGUGGCCGCGCGGUUCCCGUUCAUCCCCCUGCCCCUGGACUACGUCCUGCCCGAGCUGCUCAAGAACGCCAUGAGGAUUUCGGACCGGGGGGGAGGAAUUCCCCACGAUUUGCUGGACAAGGUCACCGAGUACCAUUUCAGCACGGCCGAGGCGAGCGCGCAGGACCCGCGCCUGGGGGGGCCCUUCCGGGGCCUGAUGGAGCCCAACGGGCAGGCGGGGCCCAUGCACGGGUUCGGCUUCGGGCUGCCCACGUCCCGCGCCUACGCCGAGUACCUGGGCGGGUCCCUGGCGCUGCAGUCGCUGCAGGGCGUCGGCACCGACGUCUACCUGAGGCUGCGGCACAUCGACGGCAAGGCCGAGAGCUUCCGCAUCUAGGGGGGCUCGGGGGACCCCGGAAUCCCGGGAUCGGGGCGGGGAGAGCCGGGAGAACCUUCCAGAGUUGGGGUUUGGGUCAUCAGAACCGUGGAGAACCUUCCAGAGUCGGGGUUUGGGUCAUGGAGAACCUUCUAGAAUUGGGGUUGGGUCAUCAGAACCGUGGAGAACCUUCUAGAAUUGGGGUUGGGUCAUCAGAACCAUGGAGAACCUUCCAGAAUUGUGUUUUGGGCCAUGGAGAACCUUCCAGAGUUGGGUUUGGGUCAUCAAAACCAAGAAGAACGUUCCAGAGUUGGGUUUGGGUCAUGAAGAACCUCCCAAAGUUGGGUUUUGGUCAUCAAAACCGUAAAGAACCGCCCAGAUUUAGGGUUUGGGUCAUCAGAACCAAGAAGAACCUUCCAGAAUUGUGUUUUGGGUCAUCAGAACCAUGGAGAACCUUCCAGAAUUGUGUUUUGGGCCAUGGAGAACCUUCCAGAGUUGGGUUUGGGUCAUGGAGAACAUUCCAGAAUUGGGUUUGGGUCAUCAGAACCAAGAAGAAC
rnacentral:lncRNA from 1 species